CAACUGGGCUCGGUCGCCUAGGCAAUGGCUGAGCAUGCGCAGUGCGCUGCUCAAUGUGGCAGAAUGCUGAGAGACGUGGUAGCGGACGGCACGGCAGCAACCUAGACCUGGCUACAAAAGCAACAGCGGGAGCAGCAGCAACCAUGGUGACCGGGUGAGGCAACGCUGAUCUCGAAACUAUAGCCACGUGGGGAUACCGGAGGACACAGCCGCUUCCAAGAAGACAUGCGAGCGAUUGCUGCAACUCGUUCCGGGAAGAUGAUGAAUGGGACUGAUGCGAGUGCCUCGAGAUUUUCUGCUAUCAGCAGAGGCUUAAACGAUGGGACUGCGACUGGACACCAAGUUCAGGAAGUGGAGCAGAGGGGAGGUUUCUUGGAUCAACCCAAGGAGCACAGACGUCACAGCAUGAAGAAGUGCCUGGAGUUGGGUGCUUGGAGCAGUCUUCCGUGCGAGUCCGGGUGCCACCAGAAGUCCUCCUAGCCAGCUAAAGCAGGAGUCUGUGCAGUUGCGUUCUCGAGCCGUCGUCCGUGGGAGUCCCGGUACCACCAGACGUCCUCCUAGCCAGCAGGAGUGUGUGGAGUUGCGUUCUCGAGCCGUCGUCCGUGGGAGUCCCGGUACCACCAGACGUCCUCCUAGCCAGCAGGUUGAUUGUACUCGGCAGAUUUCUCCAUUACCUGGUUGCUGACAUGGAUCUAAUGUUGGCGUUCUUCCCACUUUCUGGUACACUUGAAGCCGUGAGGCAGUAUGUAUAAAGGGCAGCAAGCUUGUGCAAGCAUGAUAUCUGGUCCAUCUUUGAAUAAAUCGACUGUUAUUCCAUCUUCUCCAGCAGCUUUUCCUCUGGUCAUGUCUUUCAAGGCCCUUCUAACUUCAUCGCUAGUCAUAGAAGGAGC